UCCUGGGCUUUGGCAGACAGCU
rnacentral:miRNA from 1 species